GGAGCUUCUCAUUUCGUUAUUCUCUCUUGACUCUCAUUUUCCCUGAGCCGAAAUCUCCGCUGCUUCUCGCUUUCUGCUUUCUUUGCUGUCAUCUCGCUUUGAUCUCUCUCCGAGAAGAGCAAAAAUGUCUACGGAAAAGGAGAGAGAGACCCAGGUUUAUUUGGCCAAGCUCGCCGAACAGGCCGAGCGUUAUGAAGAAAUGGUCGAGUGUAUGAAAAAGGUUGCAAAACUUGAUCUCGAGCUGACUGUGGAGGAGAGGAAUCUCCUAUCUGUGGGAUACAAAAAUGUCAUUGGUGCUCGCCGAGCUUCAUGGCGCAUUAUGUCAUCCAUCGAGCAAAAGGAGGAGUCGAAGGGGAAUGAGCACAACGUUAAACUUAUUAAGAGUUACCGCCAGAAGGUUGAGGAGGAGCUCUGCAAGAUUUGCAGCGACAUUCUUGCUAUCAUAGACAAGCACCUGAUUCCCUCUUCCACUUCAGGAGAAGCCACGGUUUUUUACUACAAAAUGAAAGGUGACUAUUAUCGCUAUCUUGCCGAGUUCAAGACUGACCAGGAAAGAAAAGAGGCAGCUGAAGAGUCAUUGAAGGGAUAUGAGGCUGCUUCAGCCACUGCAAACACCGAUCUUCCAUCAACCCAUCCAAUUCGUCUUGGCCUUGCUCUCAAUUUCUCUGUCUUCUACUAUGAGAUAAUGAAUUCUCCUGAGAGGGCCUGCCAUUUGGCCAAGCAAGCUUUUGAUGAGGCAAUUGCAGAGCUGGACACCUUAAGUGAGGAAUCAUACAAGGACAGUACCCUAAUCAUGCAGUUGUUGAGAGACAACCUCACUCUUUGGACCUCUGAUUUGCCUGAAGAUGGAGGUAUAAUAGACCCACCCAUUAGCAAAAUGCAUGAAGCUCUCUCAUGUUUAAAUUUUAACUUGUAAAUGCUCUCACGCAGGUGAAGACAACCUCAAAGGCGAAGAGUCCAAACCUACUGAAGCCGAGCAUUGACGGGGGUGGAAGGCACCUGAGAGAGAUAAUAGUAGCUGGAUAAUAUAUCAAUCAUUCUACUUCGUAAGGGUGGCGGCUUCUUUGGUUUUCUCGCAAGAGGACUGGACUUUGCAAUUCGGACAUACUAUAAAUUUUGUUGAUCUUUUUGGCCACAAUCAAAGCCAUAAAGAUCAAUCAGUUCUGCGACUUUUUUUUUAUUUUUCCUCUUAUUUUGGCUUUCCAUCGAGGCGUGUUAUUUAAGCAAUGGAUAUUUAUUUUAUUUUU